rnacentral:rRNA from 1 species
CCUACGGGGGGCUGCAGUCGAGAAUCAUUCACAAUGGGGGAAACCCUGAUGGUGUGACGCCGCGUGGAGGAUGAAGGUCUUCGGAUUGUAAACUCCUGUCAAGUGGGAGUAAACCUGCGCGUUAACUGCGUCGCAGUUUGAGAGUACCACUAGAGGAAGAGACGGCUAACUCUGUGCCAGCAGCCGCGGUAAUACAACGGUCUCACGCGUUGUUCGGGAUCACUGGGCGGAGAGGGUAGUCAGAUGUGGAAUCCCGGGGCUCAACCUCGGAAUGGCAGCCGAUACUGCAUUGCUUGAGGACUGGAGAGGAGUCUGGAAUUCAUGGUGGAGCAGUGAAAUGCGUAGAUAUCAUGAGGAACACUAGUGGCGUAGGCGAGACUCUGGACAGUUCCUGACGCUGAGGCACGAAGGCCAGGGGAGCAAACGGGAUUAGAUACCCGGGUAGUC